rnacentral:rRNA from 1 species
AACGAACGCUGGCGGCAUGCCUAACACAUGCAAGUCGAACGAGACCUUCGGGUCUAGUGGCGCACGGGUGCGUAACGCGUGGGAACCUGCCCUUAGGUUCGGAAUAACUCCCCGAAAGGGGUGCUAAUACCGGAUAAUGUCUUCGGACCAAAGAUUUAUCGCCUUUGGAUGGGCCCGCGUUGGAUUAGCUAGUUGGUAGGGUAAAAGCCUACCAAGGCGACGAUCCAUAGCUGGUCUGAGAGGAUGAUCAGCCACACUGGGACUGAGGCACGGCCCAGACUCCUACGGAAGGCAGCAGUGGGGAAUAUUGGACAAUGGGCGAAAGCCUGAUCCAGCAAUGCCGCGUGAGUGAUGAAGGCCUUAGGGUUGUAAAGCUCUUUUACCCGGGAUGAUAAUGACAGUACCGGGAGAAUAAGCUCCGGCUAACUCCGUG